CCUACGGGCGGCUGCAGUGGGGAAUAUUGGGCAAUGGGCGCAAGCCUGACCCAGCAACGCCGCGUGAAGGAAGAAGGCUUUCGGGUUGUAAACUUCUUUUGUCAGGGAAGAGCAGAAGACGGUACCUGUCGAAUAAGCCACGGCUAACUACGUGCCAGCAGCCGCGGUAAUACGUAGGUGGCAAGCGGUGUCCGGAUUUACUGGGUGUAAAGGGCGUGUAGCCGGGCUGACAAGUCAGAUGUGAAAUCCGGGGGCUCAACCACCGAACUGCAGUUGAAACUGUUGUUCUUGAGUAUCGGAGAGGCAGGCGGAAUUCCUAGUGUAGCGGUGAAAGGCGUAGAUAUUAGGAGGAACAC
rnacentral:rRNA from 1 species